rnacentral:rRNA from 1 species
GACGAACCGUGCGAACGUUAUUCGGAAUCACUGGGCUUAAAGGGCGCGUAGACGGAUGACCACGUCGAUGGCUGAAAGCCCCCGGCUCAACCGGGGAACGGGCCGCGAAACGGGUCGUCUCGAGUGGAGGAGAGGGAUCUGGAACGUCCGGUGGAGCGGUGAAAUGCGUUGAGAUCGGACGGAACGCCGACGGCGAAAGCAGGGUCCUGGACUCCAACUGACGUUGAGGCGCGAAAGCCAGGGGA